CAGUCGAUCUGCUGCGGACUGAUGAAAUGGAUAUGGGUAUCAAUUCCACCUGCAGUUACGAUCAUUCCCUCUCCUGCAAGUGCUUCUGUAGAUGCACCCACUGUCAUUCCGGGUGUCACACCAUCCAUGAUAUCCGGGUUUCCGGCUUUACCGAUUCCUGCUAUCUUGCCGUCUUUAAUACCGAUAUCUGCCUUUACGAUUCCUGUGGAGUCUACGAUCAAUGCAUUGGUAAUUACCAGAUCCAGAUCUCCGUCUUUGCUGCAGGUUUUUACAGACUGUCCCAUACCGUCACGGAUUG
rfam:Ruminococcus sp. CAG:9 genomic scaffold, scf89